UACGUAGGGUGCAAGCGUUGUCCGGAAUUAUUGGGCGUAAAGAGCUCGUAGGCGGUCUGUCGCGUCUGCUGUGAAAACUCAGGGCUUAACCCUGAGCUUGCAGUGGGUACGGGCAGACUAGAGUGCGGUAGGGGAGACUGGAAUUCCUGGUGUAGCGGUGAAAUGCGCAGAUAUCAGGAGGAACACCAGUGGCGAAGGCGGUGCUCUGGGCCGGUACUGACGCUGAGGAGCGAAAGCGUGGGUAGCAAACAGG
rnacentral:rRNA from 1 species